rnacentral:rRNA from 1 species
CAGCCGUAAACUAUGCUCGCUAGGUGUCAGGCAUGGCGCGACCGUGUCUGGUGCCGCAGGGAAGCCGUGAAGCGAGCCACCUGGGAAGUACGGCCGCAAGGCUGAAACUUAAAGGAAUUGGCGGGGGAGCACAACAACGGGUGGAGCCUGCGGUUUAAUUUGGACUCAGCGCCGGACAACUCACCGGGGACGACAGCAAUAUGUAGGCCAGGCUGAAGACCUUGCCUGAAUCGCUGAGAGGAGGUGCAUGGC